UACGUAGGGUGCGAGCGUUGUCCGGAAUUAUUGGGCGUAAAGGGCUCGUAGGCGGUCUGUUGCGUCAGGAGUGAAAACUCGGGGCUUAACCCCGAGCCUGCUUCUGAUACGGGCAGACUAGAGGUAUGCAGGGGAGAACGGAAUUCCUGGUGUAGCGGUGAAAUGCGUUGAUAUCAUCAGGAACACCGGAGGCGAAGGCGGCUUACUGGGGCCUAUCUGACGCUGAGGAACGAAAGCCAGGGGAGCGAACGGG
rnacentral:rRNA from 1 species